CGGUGCCGGGCUGGGAACCAUGGCCAGGGGUGGAGGAGGGUGAGGCGGAGUGAUAAAAACUCGGUGGAGAAAGCUGCUCUAACCAGGAGCCUCGCUGGAGCGGACAGAGGGUGGCAGCCCCUCCCCGGCAGCCCAAGACAAACAGGGCGGCAGGAAGUUCCCACGCUCCCAGGGCUGGCACCCAGAGCCUCUGCAGUCACCUGCUGGGGGCUGGAGCUGCCAGGAGGAGGAGGGCGGGGCCUCAGCCGCCCACAGGUGAGCCUGGAGCCCUGCGGCCAGGGGGUGGGGCCAGCUGGAGCACAUCUGCUGAGCUCCUACUAGGAGCCAAGCACCUUGCGAAUGCCGUCUCCCCGCGAGCCCUCACAAAAAUCCUACCAAACUAACAUUAAGCUUUGCAUUUCACAGAAUAGGAACCUGGGACCCGGAGAGGUGAAGUGAUAUCCUCGGGCCACCCAGCCCCGAAAGGGAAGAAUCAGGAUCUUGGACUCAGGCCCCUCUGGCUUCAAAGUCUGUGCUUUUUAGCCUUGUCGUGUAUCCACUCAGCAAACCUUUGCUGAAACCCUACCGCGUGCCAGGCUCUCAGCCUUGGCCCCAGGGCUGACCUUGUAUCCCGUAUCCCAGGGGGUAGGGCUGUCCCUUCCCUUUAGUGACAUCGAUCAAGGGGCAGACCUUCUCCUUCUUGUCACCCAGCACAGUGCCUGCAUGUAGCAGGUGCAUUGGAAGAGCCAGCCGAAUGACUGGGGCCAUGGCCAGGUCAGCAGCUGUCACUCCUGCCUGGGGGACAGAGGCUUCUGAGGCCCCCUGGGCCUUCAGGUCUCAGAGGACCCCUCACAGCUGCCUCCCAGGGACCACACUUCUGCUGGUCCCUCCUCCACCCCCAGACAGGGAACCACCCAUGCCAGUGUGGGAGCCACCUCGGAGUCCACGGUUAUGACAAGGCGAGGCCAGGAUGAGAGACACAUUUCAGAACCUCGAGGUCAGGAACCACGACGUAGCCUACGCUCAGGAACGACCUGUCCUCCGAGGGCCGGCUUCCGCUUUCCUGCAGCCAACACCUCCAUCACCUGCCCGAAGGUACGCAGCUAUUCCAGCAGGCUACCCGAUGAGCACGCAGGCGUCCAUCCUGCCAUCCGACCACCGUUCCACCUGUUCACCCACCAGCAUCCUCCAUCCAUCGUCCAUCAACCCAGGCAGCCUCCACCCGCCCACUGUGUGGUUCCUCUGUCUAUCCUUUGAUUUGUCUACACAGCCAUCCACUCCUUUGAAUCCCUAGUACCAGGCCCGAAGCCACCCGUGGGCGCGAAGCAAGGUCGGCUCAAAUGGCUUCUGGGUACUGUGGAAAAACCCAACCCGGUUCCACGCGAGCGUUUUUGGUCACUGGCUUCGCAGCUUCCCCUCUAGGCACACUGGCCCUUCCCCUCCUGGGAGGUCAAAGGGCGGCGGGGUGGGGAAGCCUGGGUUUUGGGUUGGCCGUUUAUUCGCUACGUGACCUUGGCCGUGGAACCAAACGGUCCGUGUUGCAUGAUGCGAAGAGUCACAGCAGAUGCCUGGACCGCGCACCUGCCACAGCGAAACACCCACGGUAAUUAACCCGUGUUAUCGCCAGAAUGAAUCAUCACUUACGUUGUCCAGGCUGCGUUGUCCAGUUGUGUCUGAUGGUCCCGGAAGGAAAGUUUGCUGUGGUUCCUGAAUGCCCAGUGGAUGAAAAAUCAUGUCUUUCUGCUGUUUUUCUGUCCCCCAGACCUUCCUUUUUCUAGCUGGCUGGGUCCCGUUUUCAACUGCGCAUGUCUUUUUUAUUUCAGUGGCACCGAUAACACCCUUUUCGAUAAAAGGAAAACAAAACUUCCAGCAGAGAUAAAGGAAGGUCCGAAUUCUUUGGCAGCUGUCCUGGGAAGGAGCGUUCCACGUUCCGUGCUGUUUUCCCACUGGAAUGGGACAAAGGGGCUCUGAAAUAUUUGUCCAGAUCAUUUCUCAUCAAUGGGGCAUUCCAACAGCCACAAGUGGUGUCGGCUUUUCGCCCUGAGCCCAGCCAGGAGGGAGCCACUGGUCUGGCUAAUCUGGGUGGGAGUCCUGGUCACUGGCUGAACUGGGGGGGCGGGAGCACUCGUGUUCCAUGGGGACAGUGUAUCUGACCGAGUCGGCUGCUGGCCGGCUGCUGGGGCUGAGCUGUGUCAGAGGCUGGACCUGUGCGCCAGACCCCUGAGCCCGUGUGGCUCUAGUCUGUCUCUUGCCUGGGAGAAGUGAUUAAUUAUGCCAUUUUUUAGAGGAGGAGACUGAGGGUCCGUGUGGAUGCGGGAGACUCACCCAAGGUCACACACAUUUCAGAUCUCUGUCUGACACCAAGCCUCCCGGCUCUGGCCACCACAGCCAGAAGCGCUGCCGUUCACCUGUCCUCCUGUCCCCAAGUGCCCUCGUGCUUCCUCCUGUGCCCAGACAUCCACGGUGUCUCCCCAAAGUGACGAGCUCUGAGCUGCGAGCUUCUCAGCUGAGACACAGCCCCGCACCUGUCUCUGUGGUCCAGGUUCUGUCUCCUCUCGGUCUGGUACCACCUCCUGGCACACCCUCUCUUCUAGGUCAUCCUGUCCCCAGGUGUCUCUGAAAACUCCUCCGACACCAGGCAUCACCUUCCCACUGCCCAGGGGCCUCGGAGCAGAGCACAGGUGCCUGGUGGGACAGAGAUAGGUCCGGGGUGGCAGCCAGGUCCAGAUGGCCCCCGAGGACCCUCACCUGUUGGUGUGCACUCCCUGAGGAGCCGGCUUCUUCACCUUGAACGGUGCUCACCUGGUAGCCAGAAGAUGCCCGGGAAUGAUGCACGGGACUCCCAAGACGGUGUCAUAAAUGGUGCUAUGUCUUCUGCC